GACGAACGCUGGCGGCGUGCUUAACACAUGCAAGUCGAACGGUAAGGCCCUUCGGGGUACACGAGUGGCGAACGGGUGAGUAACACGUGGGUGAUCUGCCCUGCACUUCGGGAUAAGCCUGGGAAACUGGGUCUAAUACCGGAUAGGACCACUGCCUGCAUGGGUGGUGGUGGAAAGCUUUUGCGGUGUGGGAUGGGCCCGCGGCCUAUCAGCUUGUUGGUGGGGGGAUGGCCUACCAAGGCGACGACGGGUAGCCGGCCUGAGAGGGUGACAGGCCGCAAUGGGAAUGGGAGACGGCCCAGACUCCUACGGGAGGCAGCAGUGGGGAAUAUUGCACAAUGGGCGCAAGCCUGAUGCAGCGACGCCGCGUGAGGGAUGACGGCCUUCGGGUUGUAAACCUCUUUCAGCACCGACGAAGCGCAAGUGACGGUAGGUGCAGAAGAAGGACCGGCCAACUACGUGCCAGCCGCCGCCGUAA
rnacentral:rRNA from 1 species